rnacentral:ncRNA from 2 species
UAUGGUGUUGCUGCAGCUGGUUCGGACGUCCCGACGGGACGUCCGAGGCAAGAGGGAACCCGGUGGAAAACCGGGACUGCCCCGCAGCGGUGAGUGGGAACGACCGCCGUCAACAGCACUGGGCCCCGGCCUGGGAAGCGACGGCCAGUAGGAGACCGGAGAUCGGUCAGGCCCGCGAGUCCGAAGACCUGCCAGCGCACCGCACGCUUC